CGCGGCGCGCCACGUCCCGGCCACACGGGAAGGCAGCCGUGCCCCUUCGCUUCCCCGUGAGGUUCGGCGCCGGGACGCGGGACCGCUGCCCCCGCCGCCUCCCCGAGAGGACGCGGGUCCGGGCUCGAGCGCCCGGCUCAAGCAUCCCCGCUUUUCUCGGGAGGCUGCACGGCCGAGAGGCCGCGUCGAGCGGUCCGGACCGGGACACGCUAACGCUUUGUUCUGCGUCUGCUCCUGCCAAGAGCCGCCUCGGUGCCGGCCUGCUGGGGACCGCUCCGGGGCACGCGCUCCGCACGCCGCUCGUCCCGAGCCUUACCUGGGGCCUGGCCGGCCGUGUCCUGGCACGGAGGCACCACCGGAGCUGUGGGUCCCCGCACGCUGACCCCCCCCCCCCCAGCAGCAAGCGUGGACCCACCACUGCGGGGCCACAGAGCUGAUGCACUGCAACGGGGUGCUAGGAGAGGAAGAAGGACAAGAAGCCAGUUAAGAAGACAGGCACCAUCAGCAGGGAGAGGAAGAGGAGGUCCAGAGGCACCCAGCCUGGGGGCAGCACCAGGGUUACCCAGGACAUCCCAGCCCAGGAGCCAGGAAGGGGCAGGAGCAUGUCUGGGCAGACCCAGGGGCUGGAGCCAGUGGAAAGGGCUUUGGUUGCUGCCAUGAGCGAUGUGUCGCUCCAGCCUCAGGAGACACGUGGCCAUGGUGGCACCAGGCCCAAGGCUUCCCCUUCCCUAAGGAACAUCCCCGCUACCUGUGGCCAAGUGAACCGGAGUGGUGCUGAGCCACCGUGGCACCAGCAGGGCCAUGAACAUGGUGAAGCCGACAAUAAAGAUGUUCCUCCCUGA